CCUACGGGUGGCAGCAGUAGGGAAUCUUCCACAAUGGGCGCAAGCCUGACGGAGCAACGCCGCGUGGGUGAAGAAGGUUUUCGGAUCGUAAAACUCUGUUGUUAGAGAAGAACGUGCGCGAGAGUAACUGUUCACGCCUUGACGGUAUCUAACCAGAAAGCCACGGCUAACUACGUGCCAGCAGCCGCGGUAAUACGUAGGUGGCAAGCGUUGUCCGGAUUUAUUGGGCGUAAAGGGAACGCAGGCGGUCUCUUAAGUCUGAUGUGAAAGCCUUCGGCUUAACCGGGGUGGGUCAUUGGAAACUGGGGGACUUGAGUGCAGAAGAGGAGAGUGGAACUCCAUGUGUAGCGGUGAAAUGCGUAGAUAUAUGGAAGAACACCAGUGGCGAAGGCGGCUCUCUGGUCUGUAACUGACGCUGAGGUUCGAAAGCGUGGGUAGCAAACAGGAUUAGAUACCCGAGUAGUC
rnacentral:rRNA from 1 species